GACGAACGCUGGCGGCGUGCUUAACACAUGCAAGUCGAACGGGCCUUGUCCCCUUUUUUUUGGGGGUGGGGUUAGUGGCGAACGGGUGAGUAACACGUGAGUAACCUGCCCCUCACUUCUGGAUAACCGCUUGAAAGGGUGGCUAAUACGGGGUGUUCUGGCCUGCUCGCAUGGGUGGGUUUGGAAAGAUUCGACCGGUUUUGGUUGUUUUGGUGGGGAUGGGCUCGCGGCCUAUCAGCUUGUUGGUGGGGUGAUGGCCUGCCAAGGCUUUGACGGGUAGCCGGCCUGAGAGGGUGGGCGGUCACACUGGGACUGAGACACGGCCCAGACUCCUACGGGAGGCAGCAGUGGGGAAUAUUGCACAAUGGGCGCAAGCCUGAUGCAGCGACGCCGCGUGAGGGAUGGAGGCCUUCGGGUUGUGAACCUCUUUCGCCAGUGAAGAAGGUCCUGCUCUUUGUGGUGGGGUUGACGGUAGCUGGGUUAAUGAAGCGCCGGCUAACUACGUG
rnacentral:rRNA from 1 species